rnacentral:rRNA from 1 species
UACGUAGGUGGCAAGCGUUGUCCGGAUUUACUGGGCGUAAAGAGCGCGCAGGCGGUCGAUUUAGUCGCGUGUGAAAGCCCCCGGCUCAACUGGGGAGGGUCACGCGAUACUGAUCGACUCGAAGGCAGGAGAGGGUAGUGGAAUUCCCGGUGUAGUGGUGAAAUGCGUAGAUAUCGGGAGGAACACCGAGUGGCAGAAGG